AAUUCUCAAAAACCCUUUUUCUUUGAACCUUUCGGGGUUGGGAAAAGGAUUUUUGGACUUGGAGGUUCAAUGCUCGCCUUUCACUUUUGAAAGCGAGCUCCUCUAAAACGAAUCAGUGGGGUCCGCUUUGCCGAUCCUUGACGUGAUAAGAUGUUUCUACGUUUUGGAUAUAGGCACUGUCCUUUGGAUUCCUGCUUCUAACCGUCUCAUGGACAAUGAUGGUGAUCUGGUCACCGCCGUCUACAUCGGCGGGAGGCUGGACCCACGAAAAGAAAA
rnacentral:misc_RNA from 1 species